rnacentral:hammerhead_ribozyme from 1 species
AUCCAGCUGACGAGUUCCACAUGGGACCAAACUCGCGUUCUGGAU